GACGAACGCUGGCGGCGUGCCUAAUACAUGCAAGUCGAGCGCAGGAAAUCAUCCGAACCCUUCGGGGGGACGUUGAUGGAAUGAGCGGCGGACGGGUGAGUAACACGUAAAGAACCUGCCCUCAGGUCUGGGAUAACCACGAGAAAUCGGGGCUAAUACCGGAUGGGUCAUCGGACCGCAUGGUCCGAGGAUGAAAGGCGCUUCGGCGUCGCCUGGGGAUGGCUUUGCGGUGCAUUGGCUAGUUGGUGGGGUAAUGGCCCACCAAGGCGACGAUGCAUAGCCGACCUGAGAGGGUGAUCGGCACACUGGGACUGAGACACGGCCCAGACUCCUACGGGAGGUAGCAGUAGGGAAUCUUCCACAAUGGACGAAAGUCUGAUGGAGCAACGCCGCGUGAACGAUGAAGGCCUUCGGGUCGUAAAGUUCUGUUGUAAGGGAAGAACAAGUGCCGCAGGCAAUGGCGGCACCUUGACGGUACCUUGCGAGAAAGCCACGGCUAACUACGUGCCAGCCGCCGCCGUAA
rnacentral:rRNA from 1 species